GACAGAGGGUGCAAACGUUGUUCGGAAUUACUGGGCGUAAAGCGCGUGUAGGCGGCUAAGUAAGUCGGGCGUGAAAUCCCACGGCUCAACCGUGGAAGUGCACUCGAAACUGCAUAGCUAGAGUCCUGGAGAGGAAGGUGGAAUGCUUGGUGUAGAGGUGAAAUUCGUAGAUAUCAAGCGGAACACCGGUGGCGAAGGCGGCCCUGCUGGGCAGUGGUAGAC
rnacentral:rRNA from 1 species